rnacentral:rRNA from 1 species
GACGAACGCUGGCGGCGCGCUUAACACAUGCAAGUCGAACGGAAAGGCCUGCUUUCCCUUGUGGAUUGCGGGUACUCGAGUGGCGAACGGGUGAGUAACACGUGAGUGAUCUGCCCCCAACUUGGGUAUAAGCCUGGGAAACUGGGUCUAAUUCCCGAUAGGACUGCAGGGUGGUGCCUGUGGUGGAAAACGAUUUUCUAGUGGUUGGGGAUGAGCUCGCGGCCUAUCAGCUUGUUGGUGGGGUAAUGGCCUACCAAGGCGGCGACGGGUAGCCGGCCUGAGAGGGUGGACGGCCACAUUGGGACUGGGAUACGGCCCAGACUCCUACGGGAGGCAGCAGUGGGGAAGAUUGCACAAUGGGCGGAAGCCUGAUGCAGCGACGCCGCGUGGGGGAUGACGGCCUUCGGGUUGUAAACUCCUUUCGACCGCGAGGAAGCCACCUGGUUGGAAGGGUGGUGACGGUAGUGGUAGAAGAAGCACCGGCUAACUACGUG